rnacentral:rRNA from 1 species
GUGUCAGCAGCCGCGGUAAUACGGAGGAUCCGAGCGUUAUCCGGAUUUAUUGGGUUUAAAGGGUGCGUAGGCGGCUUUUUAAGUCAGGGGUGAAAGACGGUGGCUCAACCAUCGCAGUGCCUUUGAUACUGAAGAGCUUGAAUGAACUUGAGGUAGGCGGAAUGUGACAAGUAGCGGUGAAAUGCAUAGAUAUGUCACAGAACACCAAUUGCGAAGGCAGCUUACUAAAGUUUAAUUGACGCUGAGGCACGAAAGCGUGGGGAUCAAACAGGAUUAGAUACCCUGGUAGUCC